rnacentral:tRNA from 3 species
GGAGUAUAGCUCAGCUGGGAGAGCACCUGCCUUACAAGCAGGGGGUCACAGGUUCGAGCCCUGUUGUUCCC